UACAGAGGUCUCAAGCGUUGUUCGGAUUCAUUGGGCGUAAAGGGUGCGUAGGUGGCGAGGUUAGUCAGGGGUGAAAUCCCGGAGCUCAACUCCGGAACUGCCUUUGAAACUGCAGUGCUAGAAUUCUGGAGAGGCGAGUGGAAUUCCGAGUGUAGAGGUGAAAUUCGUAGAUAUUCGGAAGAACACCAGUGGCGAAGGCGACUCGCUGGACAGACAUUGACGCUGAGGUGCGAAAGCGUGGGGAGCAAACAGG
rnacentral:rRNA from 1 species